CCUACGGGUGGCAGCAGUGAGGAAUAUUGCUCAAUGGACGCAAGUCUGAACCAGCCAUGCCGCGUGCAGGAAGACGGCUCUAUGAGUUGUAAACUGCUUUUGUACGAGGGUAAACGCAGAUACGCGUAUCUGUCUGAAAGUAUCGUACGAAUAAGGAUCGGCGAACCCCGUGCCAGCAGCCGCGGUAAUACGGAGGAUACAAGCGUUAUCCGGAUUUAUUGGGUUUAAAGGGUGCGUAGGCGGUCGGAUAAGUUAGGGGUGAAAUCCCGAGGCUCAACUUCGGAAUUGCCUCUGAUACUGUGCGGCUAGAGAAUAGUAGCGGUAAGCGGAAUGUAUGGUGUAGCGGUGAAAUGCUUAGAGAUCAUACAGAACACCGAUUGCGAAGGCAGCUUACCAGGCUACUUCUGACGUUGAGGCACGAAAGCGUGGGGAGCAAACAGGAUUAGAUACCCUUGUAGUC
rnacentral:rRNA from 1 species